GAUGAGGCUGCCAUGCCCCGAGGCAUGCAGCAAACCUGUCUCCUGGGACUCUAGACCGAGCACUUCUUGGACUUUGUCUCCUUUGGGACUCUGAGCAACGCUGAUGGGAAGUGGGGCAAGUUUUCAUCAACCUCAGGUUCAGAAAGAAGGAAAAGACUUAAUUUGAAAGGAGGGCUGGUGGUUCAGUAGAAUCUGAUCAGAAGAAAAUAAAAAGAGGCCAGGUGCAGUGGCUCACACCUGUAAUCCUAGCACUUUGGGAGGCUGAGGCGGGUAGAUUGCUUGAGUUUAGGAUUUCAAGACCAGCCUGAGCAACAUGGUGAAACCCGGCCUCUACAAAAAGUACAAAAAAUUAGCCAGACGUGGUGGUGCGUGCUUGCAUUCCCAGCUACGUGGGAGGCUGACGUGGGAAGAUCGCUUAAGCCCAGAAGGUCAAGGUUGCAGUGAGCUGAAAUCGCACCACUGCACUCCAGCCUGGGUGACAAAGU
rnacentral:lncRNA from 1 species